AUUGAACGCUGGCGGCAUGCCUUACACAUGCAAGUCGAACGGCAGCACGGGUGCUUGCACCUGGUGGCGAGUGGCGAACGGGUGAGUAAUACAUCGGAGCAUGUCCUGUAGUGGGGGAUAGCCCGGCGAAAGCCGGAUUAAUACCGCAUACGAUCUACGGAUGAAAGCGGGGGACCUUCGGGCCUCGCGCUAUAGGGUUGGCCGAUGGCUGAUUAGCUAGUUGGUGGGGUAAAGGCCUACCAAGGCGACGAUCAGUAGCUGGUCUGAGAGGACGACCAGCCACACUGGGACUGAGACACGGCCCAGACUCCUACGGGAGGCAGCAGUGGGGAAUUUUGGACAAUGGGCGAAAGCCUGAUCCAGCAAUGCCGCGUGUGUGAAGAAGGCCUUCGGGUUGUAAAGCACUUUUGUCCGGAAAGAAAUCCUUGGCCCUAAUACGGUCGGGGGAUGACGGUACCGGAAGAAUAAGCGCCGGCUAACUACGUG
rnacentral:rRNA from 1 species